rnacentral:lncRNA from 1 species
GUGACUAUUGUGUAAGUUAUUUAUAUUUUUGAUACAGACAUUAAUUUUUAAAAGGUUUAAUAUUUGUCAUGAUAAUUCAUUAGUGAUAGUUUAGUGAACAAAUUUUGCCAUUUCGACUAGAGGCUAUUUCUGAUUAGAUUAUUAAUUGUAAUUAAUACUGAAAACUAAUUUUAUUUGCUAAUAGUGUUUUUUAUUUUCAGGUAUGCAUCGUAUUACUGUAUUAUGUAUUCAUGGUUGAUACAUAAACAAGACAAUUGAAUAGUGUCUGAUAAAAUGGUGGAAUUUUAUGCAUAGGUCAACAAUACUUGAUAAUUAAAUAAAUUGAUAUUAUAUAAGAGUGAUUAUGCCAAUACUUCUUAAGAAGGAUGCCCGUUAAACAAGGCUUUCCUUUCUAACAAUAAAAGUAAUAUUUAAAGCAUUAAAUUAGUUUAGAGAAACAAACAUAAUUUUUCUCCAGAUAAUCUUAAUUAAUUCUACAACUUAUUUAUUUUUUAUUGUAUUUUUUUAAUGCAACUUUUGUGAUGAUUUGUGUAAAGGCAUUUGAAAUCCUAAUGUUUAUUGAGGAACUUUUAACAAUUUUCUGAUAAAGUUGCAUUUAUUUGUUUUAAUUAUUGCACUUAGUCGUCUUCAAUGUUCUGUUUUGUCAGUUGUGUACCUUUUACAUUUUUUAUAGUAACCACAUCACUUGGCAUACAAUUUAACCCAUUCAGGAUGGUGCGUGUUAUGUUUUUGUUUAACCUAGUGAGUAACUGAGAGCCGCCAUCAUGUUCAGCUCUAUCUCUACACUAAGCUACUGCGAGUAUAUCUCAUUAGACAGUUUAGUUUUAGACUGAGGUUAAAAGAAACAGUGUUAUUAAUACAAUAAAGCAUUAAAAAGUUAAUAACAAACAUCACACUUCUAUGAAUUUGAAUCUAAAAGAGAAUAUAGUUGAACUCUCGGAAUUCUUGUGGAUGAGUGCAAUUGAGGAACAUUUAGCACUGGCUGUCCUGAAAGGGGAUAAUCCUACAAUGAUAGAAUGAAUUUUUUUUUUUUUUACAAAAAUACAACUUUUGUGAUGAUUUAUAUAAAGGCAUUUGAAAUCCUAAUGUUUAUUGAGGAUCUUUAACAAUUAUCUGAUAAAGUUGUAUUUAUGUUUUUUUAAUCAUUCAUUUAGCCAUCUUCAAUGUUUUAUUAUUUUUGACAGAAACAGACAAAAUGUAAGAUAAACCUUGAAAGAUUAGCUAGACUAGGAUGAUCGUAGAAAAUCAUAUCUACUAUUCAAUUUAAUUGCUCAAACAUAUAUCUACAUCACCAAAAAAUUACAUUUUGUAAAGAAUUGGUUAAUUAAUGAUAUAAAAUACUAAUUUAAAAAUUACAGCAUUCGAUUUGUAUAAAGCCUAGUACGUACACACUGGGAGACAAUAGCUCUUAAAGGGCGCAGUAUAUUAUACCCUGACUAUUACAUCUACAUCUAGUACACACUGGGACUAGUUGAUCCAUGUCACGAUUCAGAAUCUGCACUGAAAAUAUGCAAUGUUUGGACUCAGCCCAGACUGCUCUGCAUCAAAAAAAAAAAAAAAAAAAACGUCCACCAAGAAUCAUGAUACGAACUGAGACUUGUAUAAUCCAUUUGGCUACUGUAGCCCCUUAAAAAUGGUUGAAUUAAAUGUUGCAGAAUGCUGUUGUCAACUGUAAUUGUCUACGUAAUGAAAUGUAACCUGUGAUGAUUGUUGGUAAGGCAUUUGAAAUCCUAAUUUUAUUUGAGAAUUCUUUAAUCAUUUCUGAUUUAAGUUGCAUUUCUAGUUUUAAUUUAGUUUGGACUUGUAAAUAAUUUGCUUUAAAACAUUUUGUGAUGUCAGUGAGUAGUCAAAUGUGGUUUACAGUUUUCGGGGUUAUAUGAAAUAAAAUAUUUAGUACGAA